GGACAUUACUCGAAAGAUGGGGAAUAUUGAGGACUUCUGGAUCCAUCCACAGGAAACGAUCGCUUUCCUUCAUUUGUGGCAUGUUAACGUCAGGUUUUCUCCAUCCUUGACGCUCGGCGGUGACAUGAACUUGUAAUCACAGCCAGAACCCGGCGUUUCCGCAGAGGGUCCGGUGUCGGGCACCAGCUGCAGCAGACGUGCUGUGAAACUCAGGAGAUGAGAUACAAAUCACCUCUAAAAAUACUCUUCUCUCAGGAACCAUUCCUGUAUUUCGCGGAUGACACCACCCCAGGCUGUUUCUCGACCGUAAGGAUCUCUGCAUGGAUGCACCUGCGGGUUUGAUCUCACUGGAUCAGCCACAUACUGUUUGACAUCAUGUGACAUCUAUUGAACCUCUGACACACUGAAAGAGACAGGUGUGUGUGUGCGCGUGCGUGUUGCUUUAAAUGGGCAGGACGUGACCUAUAAACCUUACUGUCCCCGACCUGCACAUUAAGGGUUUGAGUGUGUGUUUAUAACCUUGAAGGUCAGGCUGUGAUGUACGUUUGGUAAUGAUGUGUGUGUGUGUGCCCUGCAGAUUAACUCUCACUUGUUUUUGAUCUUUACCGCCUUGACUUUUGGGUUAAAAAACAAACAGAAAUGUUGGCAUAUAGACAAAAGUCCCCAAAUGCACACGCAUCUUUGCAGACACAACAAAAGCAAUAACAUCAGACUAAACAAAACAUGACAAUACCAUUUGUUUUUAGGUGAAGUGUUUGUUAAACAUUCUUUCAUCUUUUGCAUGUAGUGGGGUUUUUUUCAUGAAUAGCAUGCACGGCUGGACAUUCAACAAAUUUAAUGCAAAUUUUAAAUAUAUUUUUUAAAAUGGCAGAAUGGGUAAAACCGGGUUGCAGAUUUAUAAAGAUCAAUUACCUUUUAAUUUGUUUGGGUUAUAGAUGGAGGAUCUUUUAAUAAUAACAUGAAAGACACACGUGUACUGUGAUUAUCUCCUCUUUGGUUUAUGUUUGGUACUCUAGGCAGACAGCCAGAUGAAUCCUAAUGCCCUUCAUUUUUGGUAUUAUGCCAGUGGAUUUUACAAGCAGCAUAAUUGAUAACUAAUGCAGCAGUAAACCAUCAGAUGGUAAUACCAUGGUACUUUUAUAUACUGUAUACGUGCACCAUCACAGUACUUUUUGAAUGGAUCCAAAAUAAUGCAAAACUUUAUAGUGCCAUUCUGUAUGUCCAAACUACCAUGAUAAUGCCCUGGUCCCUUUAUGACAGUCCAGUUUUUUAUGGUAUUGUCAUUAUAUACCACACUUUUUGAUCAGGAUAAAGUGAAUUGUAUGUUGUUUUGCUUCCAAACUGCCUAACUCGCUUUGGAGGGCAAUCUUUUAGUUUUUGGUGUCGACGGGGCAGUUUUGAAGGGUGGGACGGGAAGGGUGAGCUGUCGCAGGGAGUUUGGAGCGGUUUCAGUGACGAGGAGCGUAAUGGAGUUAUUUCUACAGACAGGGCCGUGAUGAGACCGCCCGAGGAUUUCGCACACAUACAGGAUGCUGCGGGGACAGCCGUCCCCAGACGCUUUAGAUGGGCACAGUAAGGCAAAGGUCAUGUCUAUAUUUGGCAAGGUCAUCAAUGUCCCGGGAGGUUAACUGAGUGAAGUUUUUUUGAAGAUGUUUAAGACUCGAUAACUUGUGAGUUCAUCUACAUUUUAUCCAGGUUUAUGUGUUGAAUUGACACACUAAUUCAUUAAAAGAGAUACCCUAAACAUAAAAAUUCACUGAUGUUAUUUCGAACCCGUGUGGCUUUUUUUGACAGUGACAGUCUAACAGGAACAGAAGCUUUUACUCCUAAACCUCUUUCAGACGUUGCAUAAUGUCAUCCCUUUUAAAGUCGUGCCACCAAAACCAUCAAAACACCUCGUUUGUGACAUUCACCACCUUCUACAACAUCUCAAAUCACCGAACUGAACAAUGACCUGCAUGAUCUUCACAAAAAGAUGUUCAGCCUUGUUAUUUGUUGAAUAUCUGUC